rnacentral:snoRNA from 1 species
AUCCCAGGUAAACUUGCAUUUGUGUUUAUCUGAUUCAUGGGAGGCCAAAAUUUAAAAAGGAAGUUUCGCUGAUAACACCUUUUUGAACUCAUGAAGGUGUUUUACUAUUUGCUUUCCAUACACAU